UAGAAUCUUAUUACUUAUUGUUGGCUUAUGGCCUUCCCGACAAUCCAAGUGUAUUCAAUUUCAAUUUAUCUUUUUCUCUGCUAUUCUAUUAACAGGUAUUAUAUUUCAGCUGACACCAUUAAUAACAUUAAAUUGUACUUGGAAUCUUGUUAUCAAAGUGUUGUCUUCCGUAUUUUUCUUUAUGAUAGUCAUAAUAGAGUAUAAUGGAUUCCGUCUUAACAAUGAAGUUAUGAAAAAUUUAAUGAUGGAGCUUCAACAUAUACUUAACAAACUGAGGGACAAAAACGAAAUUGCUAUUAUAGAAAAAUAUAGUCAUAGUAUAAAACUUUACACAGUUUUAAUUAUGAGUAAGACAAUAUUUAUUAAUUUUUGUAUGUAAUUAUAUUUUCAAUUUAAUAUCUGACAAUAAGCUAUCAAGUGGAGAGAAAUUUAUUUUAUUAUAUUAUAAUACUUUUAUACAUAUACUUAUAUAUAAUUUAUUA